GCGAUCGUGGCGGAAUUGGUAGACGCGCUGGUCUCAGGUGCCAGUGGGUAACACCGUGGGGGUUCGAGUCCCCCCGAUCGCA
rnacentral:tRNA from 1 species